rnacentral:rRNA from 1 species
UGAGGAAUAUUGGUCAAUGGGUGCAAGCCUGAACCAGCCAUCCCGCGUGAAGGACGACUGCCCUAUGGGUUGUAAACUUCUUUUGUAUAGGGAUAAACCUACCCUCGUGAGGGUAGCUGAAGGUACUAUACGAAUAAGAACCGGCUAACUCCGUGCCAGCAGCCGCGGUAAUACGGAGGGUGCAAGCGUUAUCCGGAUUUAUUGGGUUUAAAGGGUCCGUAGGCGGACUUAUAAGUCAGUGGUGAAAGCCUGUCGCUUAACGAUAGAACUGCCAUUGAUACUGUAAGUCUUGAGUAUAUUUGAGGUAGCUGGAAUAAGUAGUGUAGCGGUGAAAUGCAUAGAUAUUACUUAGAACACCAAUUGCGAAGGCAGGUUACCAAGAUAUAACUAACGCUGAGGGACGAAAGCGUGGGGAGCGAAC